rnacentral:rRNA from 1 species
UACAGAGGGUGCGAGCGUUGUCCGGAAUCACUGGGCGUAAAGGGCGCGUAGGCGGCUUUGUAAGUUAGAGGUGAAAGCCCGGAGCUCAACUCCGGAACUGCCUUUAAAACUGCAUCGCUUGAAUCCAGGAGAGGUGAGUGGAAUUCCGAGUGUAGAGGUGAAAUUCGUAGAUAUUCGGAAGAACACCAGUGGCGAAGGCGGCUCACUGGACUGGUAUUGACGCUGAGGUGCGAAAGCGUGGGGAGCAAACAGG